UCGUAGUUGGAUUUCUGGGGAGGUGCCAAUGUCACCUUUGUGUUGCGCAGGGCGCUCUCCUUCCUUCUGUUAACGUCGUUGGACCUUAAUCAGUCUGCGGCGGGUUCAGAUAUUUUACCUUGAGAAAAUUAGAGUGUUUCAGGCAGGCCAGGCCGGAAUACAUUAGCAUGGAAUAAUGGAAUAGGACUUUAGCCUCUUUGUUGGUUUGGGGGACUGCAGUAAUGAUUAAUAGGGAUAGUUGGGGGCAUUAAUACUUAACUGUCAGAGGGGGAAUUCUCAGAUUUGUUAAAGAUUAACUUAUGCGAAAGCUUUUGCCAGGAUGGUUUUCUUUAAUCAAGAACGAAAGUUAGGGGAUCAAAGACGAUCAGAUACCGUCCUAGUCUUAACCAUAAACUAUGCCGACUCGGGUCCGGGGGCCCAACCUAUCCGCCUUCGGACCGGAAUGAGAAACAAAAGCUUUUGGGUUCCGGGGGGAGGUAUGGCCGCAGGCUGAAACUUAAAGGA
rnacentral:rRNA from 1 species